GGGGUUGUGGCUCAGUGGCAGAGCACUUGCCUUGUAUAUGUGAGACACUGGGUUUGAUCCACAGCCCCA
rnacentral:tRNA from 1 species